AGCGAACGCUGGCGGCAGGCUUAACACAUGCAAGUCGAGCGGGCACUCCGGUGUCAGCGGCAGACGGGUGGGUAACACGUGGGAACGUACCCUUUGGUUCGGAAUAACGCUGGGAAACAAGCGCUAAUACCGGAUACGCCCUUUUGGGGAAAGGCUUGCUGCCGAAGGAUCGGCCCGCGUCUGAUUAGCUAGUUGGUGGGGUAAUGGCCUACCAAGGCGACGAUCAGUAGCUGGUCUGAGAGGAUGAUCAGCCACACUGGGACUGAGACACGGCCCAGACUCCUACGGGAGGCAGCAGUGGGGAAUAUUGGACAAUGGGCGCAAGCCUGAUCCAGCCAUGCCGCGUGAGUGAUGAAGGCCUUAGGGUUGUAAAGCUCUUUUGUCCGGGACGAUAAUGACGGUACCGGAAGAAUAAGCCCCGGCUAACUUCGUG
rnacentral:rRNA from 1 species